UUCAAGUGGCUUCUUUAGUAUCAGACUAGUUCAUACUUUUGUAAAUGGGCUAAAGGGAUGAAGGAAAGCGUGUCUUGACAUACAACUCACUAUGGCCUGCCUCUGUAUAUGGAGCAGUUUGAUAGUAUUUGUAAGAUGGCCAAUAAAAGUUUUGUAUAUGCACCAGAUGCUCGUGUUUCCACUACUUAGUAUUAUGCUCGUGGAGAUGAAAAUUAAUCAGGUAUGCUUGUGUUCACGUUGGAAUGAGAAUAAUAUGCAGGUAUGCUUAAAGGUAUGAACAUUAUUUGUUCAAUGUAAUUGGUUGUCUGAUUCUAUCUUCUCUAUUUCCUUUUUCUAGUUCAUGUUAACAAUAUUAAAAGCUUUAGCAGGGCUAGUGUCAUAACGUGUUUCAAAUGUUUUAAAAUCGAUUUCUAGUGUUAGCUUGAAGGCUUGAAGUAAGGAAACAAAUCGAUAUCAAAGAGUUUCUUAAUGAUGUCAAACCUGCAGUACUAAGUAACAGUCCAUUGGACACCAAAUUUGAGAAAAAACCUUGAGUUACAUUUGCGUAAGUAGUCUUUUGGAAUUCUUGUUUUUAACUUGAUGUGCUUAUAUUGCGUUCAUCAGGGAACUACAGCUCC